GCGCCCAUAGCUCAACUGGAUAGAGCGCUAGCCUUCGGAGCUGGAUGCUGGAGGUUCAACUCCUCCUGGGCGCA
rnacentral:tRNA from 1 species